rnacentral:rRNA from 1 species
GACGAACGCUGGCGGCGUGCUUAACACAUGCAAGUCGAACGGAAAGGCCCUGCUUUUGUGGGGUGCUUGAGUGGCGAACGGGUGAGUAACACGUGAGUAACCUGCCCUUGACUUUGGGAUAACUUUAGGAAACUGGGGCUAAUAUCGGAUAGGAGCUCCUGCUGCAUGGUGGGGGUUGGAAAGUUUCGGCGGUUGGGGAUGGACUCGAGGCUUAUCAGCUUGUUGGUGGGGUAGUGGCUUACCAAGGUUUUGACGGGUAGCCGGCCUGAGCGGGUGACCGGCCACAAUGGGACUAAGAUACGGCCCAGGCUCCUACGGGAAGCAGCAGUGGGGAAUAUUGCACAAUGGGCGGAAGCCUGAUGCAGCAACGCCGCGUGCGGGAUGACGGCCUUCGGGUUGUAAACCGCUUUCGCCUGUGACGAAGCGUGAGUGACGGUAAUGGGUAAAGAAGCACCGGCUAACUACGUG